rnacentral:misc_RNA from 1 species
UCCGAGUUGUCCCCGGCAGUCCUCUUAGAGUCCCCGGCAUUACCCGUUGGCAACUAAUGAUAAGGGUUGCGCUCGUUGCGGGACUUAACCCAACACCUCACGGCACGAGCUGACGACAGCCAUGCAGCACCUGUGCAGCAGUCCCGAAGGAAAGACUCAUCUCUGAGCCGGUCUACUGCAUGUCAAGCCUGGGUAAGGUUCUUCGCGUUGCAUCGAAUUAAACCACAUGCUCCACUGCUUGUGCGGGUCCCCGUCAAUUCUUUUGAGUUUCGGCCUUGCGACUGUACUCCCCAGGCGGUAUACUUAACGCGUUAGCUCCGGCACAACUGGGGUUGAAUCCAGCUACACCAAGUAUACAUAGUUUACAGCAAGGACUAC